rnacentral:ncRNA from 1 species
CACCGCCCGUUGCUACAACCGAUCGAAUGGUAUAGUGAGGCCGUUGGAUUGGUGUCAUUGUAGUGGCUUUGCCGCUCGUCUGAUGCUGAGAAGAUGAUCUAAUUUGACUAUUUAGAAGAAGUAAAAGUCGUAACAAGGUUUCCGUAGGUGAACCUGCGGAUG